rnacentral:tRNA from 2 species
ACUUAAAUAGCUUAAAUGAGAGUGAAAUAUUGAAGAUAUUUAGGUGAUAAUUAAUCUUUAGGUA